UACGUAGGGCGCAAGCGUUGUCCGGAAUUAUUGGGCGUAAAGAGCUCGUAGGCGGCUUGUCACGUCGGGUGUGAAAGCCCGGGGCUUAACCCCGGGUCUGCAUUCGAUACGGGCAGGCUAGAGUGUGGUAGGGGAGAUCGGAAUUCCUGGUGUAGCGGUGAAAUGCGCAGAUAUCAGGAGGAACACCGGUGGCGAAGGCGGGUCUCUGGGCCAUUACUGACGCUGAGGAGCGAAAGCGUGGGGAGCGAACAGG
rnacentral:rRNA from 1 species